UGUGACCUCAAAUCAGGUAGGACNACCCGCUGAA
rnacentral:rRNA from 1 species